UACGUAGGUGGCAAGCGUUGUCCGGAUUUACUGGGCGUAAAGGGCGCGUAGGCGGGAUGGCAAGUCGGUCGUGAAAUCCUUCGGCUCAACCGAAGAACGUCGGCCGAUACUGCCGUUCUUGAGGGAUGCAGAGGAGCGCGGAAUUCCCGGUGUAGCGGUGAAAUGCGUAGAGAUCGGGAGGAAGGCCGGUGGCGAAGGCGGCGCUCUGGAACAUUUCUGACGCUGAGGCUCGAAAGCGUGGGGAGCAAACAGG
rnacentral:rRNA from 1 species